UCGGCCCCGUUCCGCGUUGUGGAAGGUUAUGUUCUUUUUGCUGUUUAGGUUCACACUGCCUUUGUGAGCUGUAAUACCGCGAAGGUCUGCAGCUUCGCUCCUGAAGCAAUAGAGACCACGAACCACCAGGAGGAAUGAACAACUUCAGACGCACCGCUUUAAGAGCUGUAACACUCGCCGCGAAGGUCUCCCGCUUCACUCAUGAGUCAGCGAAACCACGAAGCCACCGGAGGGAAAAAACUUCGGACACGCCGCCUUUAGAAACUGUAACACUCACCGCGAGGGUCCGCGGCUUCAUUCUUGAAGUCAGUGAGACCAAGAACCCACCAAUUCUUGAACACGUUGAGUUCAAGUGGUUCUCCUGCCUCAGGCUCCCGAGCAGCUGAGAUUACAGACGCCCACCACGCCCGGUGAUGCUGUGAAGUUGGUGCCCAAGAUUCAUAGCCAGGGAGCCAGGGAGGAGCAAAGUGGGGAUUCAGCCGCAGUCAUCUCCUCGUCACCCCCUGCCUUUCUCCAUCUGCAUGGCCGCCAUCAUCAGUACUCUCUUGGCCCACACCCAGAGCCCCUCAGUGGACUGCAGGACUCUUCUCACUCAUCCAGAACAUUCCCCACAGAACAACCUGCGGGGUCCUUCUAAAAUAAGCAGCCAUUCAUCUCUUCCUUGCUUAAAACUCUUCACAGUCUCUUUAGUGCCCUGAGCCUCGAGUCUAAUCUCUAUGUAGCCUGCAUAACUUCACGUAACUCCACGUAACUUCAGGAGGCCUUGGAAGAUCUGCCUACCAACAGAGAGAAGCAGGUGCCAGCCUCCUCCUAUGAGCAUUCAAUGCAGGUAAUUGUAUGACAAUGGAGAGGUGAUCACUGCACUGAAAAUAAGUUUCCUGAAGUGAAAAAGGGAAUCAAGUUAUGUCACAGAGCCUGGCUUGAGCAGCGCUCAGUCAACACCAGCUCUUCAUGGGUUGUGGUUUCCUCCAGUUCCUGGAUGUGCGGAGUUCAUCCUCCACUGACUGGCGCCCUGGUCGACAAUGAGGUCUGAAAAUGGUGCUUAUUUAAGAAAAAAGCGAGGAGGAAAUAAAGGCAGCUGUAUGUGCUCCAACUUUUGACAAAUGGAUUUUGGAUUGCUGAGCGGGUCAUGACUGUUAGUGGACACGAGGGGGCAGCCUCAUCCUGGGCUCUAA